rnacentral:rRNA from 1 species
AGUAAAAGUCGUAACAAGGUUUCCGUAGGUGAACCUGCGGAAGGAUCAUUACAAAUGUCUGGGAUGUCCAAUCGGGCCCCCAAGCAAACACAUCCAUGUGUACACUCCCAUGUUGCUUCCCCAGAUCAGUGGCCACUGCUGCCAGCCCACCCCCUCAAUUGGGGUCCUGGGUUGAGGUGUCUGGGGAAGGGCCCAAUAACAAACCUUUGAACCAAUUAGUUGUCUGAGUAGGCCACCCGCCGCAAUCUUUAAAACAUGUUAAAACUUUCAACAACGGAUCUCUUGGCUCUCGCAUCGAUGAAGAACGCAGCGAAAUGCGAUAAGUAAUGUGAAUUGCAGAAUUCAGUGAAUCAUCGAAUCUUUGAACGCACAUUGCGCCCUUUGGUAUUCCUUAGGGCAUGCCUGUUCGAGCGUCACUAACAACCCCCUCACAGAUAGUGUGGUAUUGGUAGAAGUGAUCGGUAUUAGCAUUAGCGCAUUUCAAUAAGCUGAAGUGCAUAUCAAUAAGCGGAGGUGAAUAUCAAUAAGCGGCAGUGCAUAUCAAUAAGCGGAGGAGCAUAUCAAUAAGCGGAGGAGCAUAUCAAUAGCGGAGGAG